GUCGGCAGUGGUUGGGACAAGAAACAACGCCCUCGCCUUUUACUAGGGCGUUCCGUGUCUCAACCCCAAGUCAGUGUCGAUUGCCAAUUUCUCAACUAUCAGGGCUACCUUGUUU
rnacentral:snRNA from 1 species